GGGUUUGGUUUAGCUAUUAGCUAUCAUACAGCUGACUACUGAAAAAGGAGGAAAAAACCCUCUGAAGAGUGUUUCACCAAAUCAAAUGAUGGUAAAGAAACACCAUUUUCUUUUGGACCUUAGCCUGGCUGGGACCAGUAAGUGCAGCUGUCAAUAACUUCCUUUGGAUAAUAUAAAAGUGUACUGGAAUAAAAGGCUGCACUCGGAAUUGGGCAAUCUGUCCCAGGGACCUCAUCAGAGAGCAUGUAUGGACAAAUUGAGAAAGUCCUGAGAAGAACAAGAGAGAGAUCUGUUGUGCUUGAGGGACAGACUUAUCUGGAAGAAUGAGAGAGAAUCAGCACGGCCCAGGAAUCAUCACUGCUACCACUUUGAAGGGUGCCUUGGUACACAGAGAGUUGCCAGCCAGCAAAAGGAAGAGGGACUUGUUCUGAAGACCUGACAGGUUUCCAUUCCUUCUGUGAGCACCACCACGCAGACAGUGACUCCCGACGUGGUUCAACUGAAGGAGUGAAGAUCACCAAAAAGACAAGUGAAGACAGUGAGAA